CUUCGCCGUCCCUGACUGGAGGAAACCUGCAGGCUCUCGUCCGCCGAGCUCAGAAGUGCCAGGCGCUGCCAACGGCCCCGGAGAUCCUCGCGUGGAUGCGACCAUCUUGGAAGCCAUGUUAAAGAAGGCAGAGCCACAAGAUAGAUGCAGCCGGGUUCUCUAAAUCACCACUGGGGAGAAACCCACACACCAAUGAGGAAUACCCAUUUUUUGGAUUUUAAGAGCAAGAAAUAAACUUCAAUUGUGUUCAGC
rnacentral:lncRNA from 10 species